rnacentral:rRNA from 1 species
CAAUAAGCGGAGGAAAAGAAACUAACAAGGAUUCCCCUAGUAACGGCGAGUGAAGCGGGAAGAGCUCAAAUUUGUAAUCUGGCGCCUCCGGCGUCCGAGUUGUAGUCUGUAGAGGCGUUAUCCGCGGCGGACCACGUACAAGUCCUUUGGGAUGAGGCGUCAUAGAGGGUGAGAAUCCCGUCCAUGACGUGGACUACCGUCGCUUUGCGUUGCGCCAUCGAAGAGUCGAGUUGUUUGGGAAUGCAGCUCAAAACGGGUGGUAAAUUCCAUCUAAAGCUAAAUACGGGCGAGAGACCGAUAGCGAACAAGUACCGUGAGGGAAAGAUGAAAAGAACUUUGGAAAGAGAGUUAAACAGUACGUGAAAUUGCUGAAAGGGAAACGCUUGAAGUCAGUCGUCUCGCGGAGGACUCAGCCUGGCUUUUGCCUGGCGCACUUCCUCCCGAGGGGCCAGCGUCAGUUUCGGGCGCCGGAAAAGGGCGCGGGGAAUGUGGCACCUCCGGGUGUGUUAUAGCCCCGCGUCGUGCGCGGCGCCCGGGACUGAGGACCGCUUUAUAGGAUGCUGGCGUAAUGGCUUUAAACGACCCGUCUUGA